rnacentral:misc_RNA from 1 species
AUAUCAGAAAGAAGCCCUCCUCCAGUUCAAGUUUUUAUUGUUGGGAAACACUUCCUUGUCAAGUGUGCAGCAUCCAAUUUCCGAGUCAUGGAACCUGAGUUCCGAUUGCUGUCAGUGGGAACAAGUCACCUGUGAUUCGAAACAGCAUGUGACUAUUCUUAACCUCUCCAGCCUCACUUCAUCAUUAAGCCAGAAAUCUGUUGUGACAUCUGAUGUUUUAACCCCACUCUUUCAUUUACAAACACUCACCUCUCUUGACAUUUCUAUUAAUGAUAUACAUGGCCAAAUUCCAGGGGUUGGGUUUGCCAAUUUAACUGAACUUGUCGAACUGAUUAUGGUUGAAAAUAGUUUUAAUGGUUCCAUUCCUCCUCAGUUGUUUUCUUUAAGGUAUUUGGAGAAGCUUGAUCUGGGUCAUAAUUUGAUUGCGGGGACAUUAGGCAGCAACUUGGGAAAUCUUUCGAAUCUGAGGGAGUUGCGCUUGAAUGUUAACUUGUUCCACGGACAGAUUCCUAAGCAGAUUGGUCGUCUGGGUGAGUUGUAUUUAUUGGAUUUGGGAUAUAAUUUUUUCUCCAUGGGGAUACCAACUGAGAUUGGUAACAUGUCGAGCUCUGCAUAUCUCUACUUAAGCAGCAACAAUUUAUCAGGAGAGAUCCCUUCUUCAAUGCAAAAGUUGGAACACUUGAAUGAACUUUAUUUGGAAAAUAAUGUCCUUUCUGGUAAAAUCCCACCUUUUAUGUUUCUUUUAAAAGACAUAUAUUCUCUUGUUCUCUCAGGGAAUGAUUUCUCAGGACUGUUGCCGGAUAAUUUUACUGAAGGUUAUGGUAUUGGAUUACUUGCACUGUCCGAUAACAAUCUGUCUGGUCCAAUACCAAGCCCCCUGGCAAAUGGGAUUGAAUACUUCUUGGACUUAUCAGGCAACAAAUUUUCAAGCUUUCCAAAAUUUUAUUUUGAUUCAUCAUUGUAUUAUAUUAAUCUUGCCUCCAAUAAAAUCUCUGGUGAGCUUCCUAUGAUUUUUCCUGAGAUGACAGGAGUACUGAUAUUAAGCCAAAAUGAGCUUUUUGGUUCCCUGCCUCGAGAACUUGCAUACCUUGAUCGGCUCCAGUACCUUGAUCUCCAUGACAACAACUUGACAGGUGAAAUCCCAGCGUUUUUCUCCCAAUUCUACAGUCUCCUAGUUUUGAAUCUUAGGAAUAAUUCUUUCAACGGGUCCAUUACAAUUGAUUUUUCGCCUUCUAGUCUACUAAUUGUUGAUCUCUCUAGCAACAAGCUCAGUGGAGAUAUCCCCUCUACUUUAGGAGAUCUCCAUCGAAUGAUUGAUAAUGCCUACCAUGCGUCUGAUAGCAUGGGCUAUAAUUUUUUCAAUGGGCUCCCAGAACAUUUACUGGACUCGCAAGUCUAUUGGAAGAAGUUAAAGCAAAAUUUAUCUGGCAAUAACCUUUGGAUGUACACAUUUUUAGACCUAUCAAACAACCAAUUAUCAGGUGAAAUUCCUUACAAUUUGGGAUCUUUGAAAAGUUUGAAGUCUCUAAACUUGUCCAGUAACAAAAUCUCAGGCGGCAUACCUGUGAGCUUUGGCAAUUUGCAAAAUUUAGAAAUCCUUGACUUAUCCCGAAAUAAUCUUUCAGGUGAAAUUCCUAAAAAUCUAGGAAAACUCUCUGAAUUAACUGUAUUGGACGUGAGCAACAAUAAAUUUCAUGGUCGCAUUCCAAAUGGUCCUCAAAUGGAUAGAAUGAA